rnacentral:tRNA from 1 species
GCGGGUGUAGCUCAAUGGCUAGAGCCCUACCCUUCCAAGGUAGUUGUUGUGAGUUCGAGUCUCAUCACCCGCUCCA